UGGGGAAUAUUGCACAAUGGGGGAAACCCUGAUGCAGCGACGCCGCGUGAACGAAGAAGGUAUUCGUAUCGUAAAGUUCUGUCCUAUGGGAAGAUAAUGACAGUACCAUAGAAGAAAGCUCCGGCUAAAUACGUGCCAGCAGCCGCGGUAAUACGUAUGGAGCGAGCGUUGUCCGGAAUUAUUGGGCGUAAAGGGUACGCAGGCGGUUUAAUAAGUCGAAUGUUAAAGAUCGGGGCUCAACCCCGCAAAGCAUUGGAAACUGUUAAACUUGAGUAGUGGAGAGGAAAGUGGAAUUCCUAGUGUAGUGGUGAAAUACGUAGAUAUUAGGAGGAAUACCAGUAGCGAAGGCGACUUUCUGGACACAAACUGACGCUGAGGUACGAAAGCGUGGGGAGCAAACAGG
rnacentral:rRNA from 1 species